rnacentral:RNase_P_RNA from 1 species
GGAGUUGGCCAGGCAGUCGCCCCGCUUGCGGGGAGGAAAGUCCGGGCUCCACAGGGCAGGGUGCCAGGUAACACCUGGGGGGCGCGAGUCCAUGGAAAGUGCCACAGAAAAUAUACCGCCUGUUUCGUACGCGGAGCGGGUAAGGGUGAAAAGGUGCGGUAAGAGCGCACCGCGCGCCUGGUAACAGGCGUGGCAGGGUAAACCCCACCCGGAGCAAGACCAAAUAGGGGAACGAUCAUGCGGCCCGCAUGGUUCCCGGGUAGGUCGCUCGAGGUGCACGGUGACGUGUAUCCCAGAUGAAUGGCUGUCCACGACAGAACCCGGCUUACCGGCCGACUCCCUUU